rnacentral:rRNA from 1 species
AGGACGAACGCUGGCGGCGUGCUUAACACAUGCAAGUCGAACGGAAAGGCCCUUCGGGGUACUCGAGUGGCGAACGGGUGAGUAACACGUGGGUGAUCUGCCCCGCACUUUGGGAUAAGCCUGGGAAACUGGGUCUAAUACCGAAUAGGACCAUGGGAUGCAUGUCCUGUGGUGGAAAGCUUUUGCGGUGUGGGAUGGGCCCGCGGCCUAUCAGCUUGUUGGUGGGGUUAAGGCCUACCAAGGCGACGACGGGUAGCCGGCCUGAGAGGGUGUCCGGCCACACUGGGACUGAGAUACGGCCCAGACUCCUACGGGAGGCAGCAGUGGGGAAUAUUGCACAAUGGGCGCAAGCCUGAUGCAGCGACGCCGCGUGGGGAUGACGGCUUCGGGUUGUAACCUCUUUCAGUAGGACGAAGCGCGAAGUGACGGUACCUACAGAAGAAGACACCGGCCAACUACGUGCCAGCAGCCGC